rnacentral:tRNA from 1 species
GAUUGCAGUGGCCCGGCACAGUCCGGCACCGAUUCUUCUAGAAUCGGGGGAAACUUCGCAACGAUUGGGCAUCCGCGGGGCCCCCCCGCGCCGCGACUAC